rnacentral:rRNA from 1 species
UACGAAGGGGGCUAGCGUUGCUCGGAAUUACUGGGCGUAAAGGGCGCGUAGGCGGAUAGUUCAGUUGGGGGUGAAAGCCUGUGGCUCAACCACAGAAUUGCCUUCGAUACUGUAGAGCUUGAGACCGGAAGAGGUAAGUGGAACUGCGAGUGUAGAGGUGAAAUUCGUAGAUAUUCGCAAGAACACCAGUGGCGAAGGCGGCUUACUGGUCCGGUUCUGACGCUGAGGCGCGAAAGCGUGGGGAGCAAACAGG